rnacentral:lncRNA from 1 species
CGCGUCAAACAUUAAAGACAGAUCUGCACUGAUGAAGUCAAAUUCCAGCAUCUCUCAGGGCUCUGUUUGCCUUUUCCAAUUAUAAAGCACUGUUGUUUCAGCUAUCUGGGAUCAGCUUUUGGAUGAGUCCCGCAGUUCCCUGGGGUGAGCGCUUCUUCCACGUGAGGAGAUCAUUAAGAUCUGAAGCAACACUGCUCUCUAGUGGGGACAUUUUAGAAAACACAGGAACUAUGCUGGCCCGGAUUGGCUAAUCGGGAGGACUGAGAGUAUUCCCGAUGGGCCGGUCCGUUUUUUUGGCCAAAAGGGCCGGAGUCCCUAGCUGCCUGCACUCUGAGCAGUCACACUUUCUUUAUUCAUUUAUUUAUUUGACUAUAGCCUCAAUCUUUUUAUUCAUUAUUUUGUUGCGCCCUUCUUUUUAUUUAUUUUCUCGCAGCCCCAGUAGCAGAAUGCAGCCGGCAUGUUAAUGAUGUCCAAUAAAGAAAUCUAUGAAGUCCG